AACGAACGCUGGCGGCAGGCUUAACACAUGCAAGUCGAACGGGUGUAGCAAUACAUCAGUGGCAGACGGGUGAGUAACACGUGGGAACCUUCCUAGGGGUACGGAACAACUCAGGGAAACUUGAGCUAAUACCGUAUACGUCCGUAAGGAGAAAGAUUCAUCGCCCCUAGACGGGCCCGCGUCGGAUUAGGUAGUUGGUGGGGUAACGGCCUACCAAGCCUACGAUCCGUAGCUGAUCCGAGAGGANGAUCAGCCACACUGGGACUGAGACACGGCCCAGACUCCUACGGGAGGCAGCAGUGGGGAAUCUUGGACAAUGGGCGCAAGCCUGAUCCAGCCAUGCCGCGUGAGUGAAGAAGGCCUUAGGGUUGUAAAGCUCUUUUACCUAGGGACGAUAAUGACGGUACCUGGAGAAUAAGCCCCGGC
rnacentral:rRNA from 1 species